rnacentral:rRNA from 1 species
AAGUAUUCCACGUGUGGAAUUUUGUAUGUACCAUAUGAAUAAGGAUCGGCUAACUCCGUGCCAGCAGCCGCGGUAAUACGGAGGAUCCGAGCGUUAUCCGGAUUUAUUGGGUUUAAAGGGAGCGUAGGUGGAUUGUUAAGUCAGUUGUGAAAGUUUGCGGCUCAACCGUAAAAUUGCAGUUGAAACUGGCAGUCUUGAGUACAGUAGAGGUGGGCGGAAUUCGUGGUGUAGCGGUGAAAUGCUUAGAUAUCACGAAGAACUCCGAUUGCGAAGGCAGCUCACUAGACUGUCACUGACACUGAUGCUCGAAAGUGUGGGUAUCAAACAGGAUUAGAUACCCCUGUAGUC